rnacentral:rRNA from 1 species
CAUUGCAAGCAGUGGUAUCAACGCAGAGUACAUGGGGACUGCGAAUGGCUCAGUAAAACAGUAAUAGUUUAUUUGAUGAUUUGUUAGAUGGAUAACUGUGGGAAAUCUAGAGCUAAUACAUGCUAAAUGUUAUUAGAUAUUGCCUAUAUGGGAAAAAAUCUAAUUAAGGACCAUGCUGAGAAGCAUGGCUCUUCAUUCAAGUUUCUGCCCUAUCAGCUUUGAUGGUAGUGUAUUGGACUACCAUGGCAAUAACGGGUACGGGGAAUGAGGGUUCGAUUCCGGAGAAGGAGCCUGAGAGACGGCUACUACUUCCAAGGAAGGCAGCCGGCCGAGAUUUACCCAAUCCUGACUCAGGGAGGUAGUGACAAGAAAUAACAACACUGGGCUUCGUCUUAGUGAUUGGAAUGAGUUUAAUGUAAACGCGUUAGCGAUGAACAACUGGAGGGCAAGUCUGGUGUCAGCAGCCGCGGUAAUUCCAGCUCCAGUAGCGUAUAUUAAAGUUGUUGCAGUUAAAAAGCUCGUAGUUGGACGUCUCUCUCACUCGUUCUUCGCGAGUGAGGGUUCUGCCUAGCGCCAAUACAACCAUUGGAAUGCAGGCUCAUUACCUUAAAGAAAUUAGAGUGUUUAAAGCAGGUGUACCUGAAUAGCACAGUUGGGAAUAAUACAAGAACUUUGUCUUGGCGAGACUUAGUCUAUUUUUAAUAGGAACAGUUGGGGGCAUUGGUACUCAGUAGUCAGAGGUGAAAUUCUUGGAUUUACUGAAGACCAACUAAUGCGAAAGCAUUUGCCAAGGAUGUUUUCAUUAAUCAAGAACGAAAGUUAAGGGAUCAAAGACGAUUAGAUACCGUCGUAGUCUUAACCAUAAACUAUACCGACUAGGAAUCGGAGAGAAUCGCGUUUCUCUUCGGCACCUUCCGAGAAAUCAAAGUCUUUGGGUUCUGGGGGGAGUAUGGUCGCAAGACUGAAACUUAAAGGAAUUGACGGAAGGGCACCACAAGGAGUGGAGCCUGCGGCUUAAUUUGACUCAACACGGGGAAACUUACCAGGUCCGAAAAUAGUAAGGAUUGACAGGCUAAUGACCUUUCAUGAUUCUAUUUAUGGUGGUGCAUGGCCGCUCAAAGCUCGUGGAGUGAUCUGUCUGGUUAAUUCCCGAUAACGAGCGAAACCUCUACCUGCUAAUUAGGCACUUUCUUAAUAAGAACUAGUCUUCUUAGAGGGACAACCAGCUAAAAGUUGGGGGAAGCAAGAGGCAAAAGCAGGUCAGUAUGCCCUUAGAUGUCCUGGGCCGCUCGCGCGCUACAAUGAUGUCAUCAAUAAGUACCGAAAUAGAAAUAUUAAGGUAAUCUUAAAAUAGCAUCGUACUUGGGAUUGAUCAUUGUAAUUAUUGGUCAUGAACUAGGAAUUCCUAGUAAGCGCAAAUCAUCAAUUUGCACUGAAUAAGUCCCUGCCCUUUGUACACACCGUCCGUCGAGUCUUCUUUUUAAAUAAACAGGUGAAUCUAUUGGACUUUAGGGAAAGAUAUGUGAACCUAUUUAUUUGUAGGAAGAAAAUGUCGUAACAAGGUAUCCGUAGGUGAACCUGCGGAUGGAUCAUU